GACGAACGCUGGCGGCGUGCCUAAUACAUGCAAGUCGAGCGGAAGUUGGAGAGCUUGCUCUUCAACUUUAGCGGCGGACGGGUGAGUAACACGUGGGCAACCUGCCCUGCAGAUCAGGAUAACUCCGGGAAACCGGUGCUAAUACCGAAUAGUUUUCGCCACCUCCUGGUGGCGUACGGAAAGACGGUUUCGGCUGUCACUGCAGGAUGGGCCCGCGGCGCAUUAGCUAGUUGGUGGAGUAACGGCCCACCAAGGCAACGAUGCGUAGCCGACCUGAGAGGGUGAUCGGCCACACUGGGACUGAGACACGGCCCAGACUCCUACGGGAGGCAGCAGUAGGGAAUCUUCCGCAAUGGACGAAAGUCUGACGGAGCAACGCCGCGUGAGUGACGAAGGUUUUCGGAUCGUAAAACUCUGUUGUGAGGGAAGAACAAGUACCAACUAACUACUGGUACCUUGACGGUACCUCACCAGAAAGCCACGGCUAACUACGUGCCAGCAGCCGCGGUAAGAC
rnacentral:rRNA from 1 species